GAUGAACGCUGGCGGCGUGCCUAAUACAUGCAAGUCGAGCGAACGGACGAGAAGCUUGCUUCUCUGAUGUUAGCGGCGGACGGGUGAGUAACACGUGGAUAACCUACCUAUAAGACUGGGAUAACUUCGGGAAACCGGAGCUAAUACCGGAUAAUAUUUUGAACCGCAUGGUUCAAAAGUGAAAGACGGUCUUGCUGUCACUUAUAGAUGGAUCCGCGCUGCAUUAGCUAGUUGGUAAGGUAACGGCUUACCAAGGCAACGAUGCAUAGCCGACCUGAGAGGGUGAUCGGCCACACUGGAACUGAGACACGGUCCACACUCCUACGGGAGGCAGCAGUAGGGAAUCUUCCGCAAUGGGCGAAAGCCUGACGGAGCAACGCCGCGUGAGUGAUGAAGGUCUUCGGGUCGUAAAACUCUGUUAUUAGGGAAGAACAUAUGUGUAAGUAACUGUGCACAUCUUGACGGUACCUAAUCAGAAAGCCACGGCUAACUACGUG
rnacentral:rRNA from 1 species